GAAAGGGUUCUCACUGUGCUAUCCAGCACCCCACAUUCCAGAGUUGAUUCAGCUGCUCAGCCUGCUGGUCAGGGGCCCCUUCCCCCAAAUCUGUUCUUUGUUCCUCUCUCCUGAACCUGUGUGUUCAGCUGAACAGAAUGACCUUAACAGGAUGAGAAGCCCAUGCUUUUGUUCUUCAGUCAGAUACACAAGUAGCUGUAUAUUCCCUGUCUAGAACCAUAAAGACUGUCUUCUGCUUUUGUUUAACAGGAAAUUCAAGAUGUGGAAAUUAUAAAUAUCUUUGAUGAGUUUGCCUUUAAAAAAGUCUAGAACCAA
ensembl:misc_RNA 7SK 7SK RNA